rnacentral:tRNA from 1 species
GCCGAGGUGGUGAAAUUGGUAGACACGCAGUCUUGAGGAGGCUGUGCCGUAAGGCAUGCAGGUUCAAGUCCUGUCCUCGGCACCA